rnacentral:rRNA from 1 species
UACGUAGGGGGCAAGCGUUUGUCCGGAUUUAUUGGGCGUAAAGAGCGUGUAGGCGGCCCGGUAAGUCCGCUGUGAAAGUCCAGGGCUCAACCCUGGGAUGCCGGUGGAUACUGUCGGGCUCGAGUCCGGAAGAGGAGUGUGGAAUUCCUGGUGUAGCGGUGAAAUGCGCAGAUAUCAGGAGGAACACCAAUGGCGAAAGCAGCUUUCUGGGACGGUACUGACGCUGGAGACGCGAAAGCGUGGGGAGCGAACAGG